GGUCAGAUGGCCGAGCGGUCUAAGGCGCUAGCUUCAGGUGCAUUCUUGAAAUAUGCUAGUCUAGUAAUAGGCGUGGGUUCGAAUCCCACUCUGAUCA
rfam:Pseudomassariella vexata strain CBS 129021 BCR38scaffold_28, whole genome shotgun sequence.